AUGUGGCUGAUCAUGCGUGGGGAAAAACCAGCACCGGGUGUGCUCAAAAUCAACUCUCAUGGGUGUUUUAAUCCUGAAUCUUCUGAUGGUCGUUGGGGCCUAGUACUCUACGGACUGAAGCAGAGGCAUGCAUCCAUGCCAUGGAGAGUCCUCAGGAGUUGGGCAUCAGAUGCCAUUGUGGAAACUGACGCUGCACAAUUGGUUACAGGAAUCAACAACUACUCUGAUCUUGCCCCAAAUGAUGUGCUGUUUCGGGAGACAAAAACUAGUAGACAUUGUGUUUACGCGUUCCCCUGUUUUAUUUGGUUCAUGACUGAGACUGACUGGUUACAAGAAGAGCACACUUCAGAUAGUAGAUAA
rnacentral:rRNA from 1 species